GUAGCUCAAUGGUUAGAGCCGACCGCUCAUAACGGUCUGGUUGGGGGUUCGAGUCCCUCC
rnacentral:tRNA from 1 species